GACGAACGCUGGCGGCGUGCUUAACACAUGCAAGUCGAACGGAAAGGCCCUUCGGGGUACUCGAGUGGCGAACGGGUGAGUAACACGUGGGUGAUCUGCCCUGCACUCUGGGAUAAGCCUGGGAAACUGGGUCUAAUACCGGAUAUGAUCAUGCGCCUCAUGGUGUGUGGUGGAAAGCUUUUGCGGUGUGGGAUGGGCCCGCGGCCUAUCAGCUUGUUGGUGGGGUAAUGGCCUACCAAGGCGACGACGGGUAGCCGGCCUGAGAGGGUGACCGGCCACACUGGGACUGAGAUACGGCCCAGACUCCUACGGGAGGCAGCAGUGGGGAAUAUUGCACAAUGGGCGCAAGCCUGAUGCAGCGACGCCGCGUGGGGGAUGACGGCCUUCGGGUUGUAAACCUCUUUCAGUACCGACGAAGCGCAAGUGACGGUAGGUACAGAAGAAGCACCGGCCAACUACGUG
rnacentral:rRNA from 1 species